rnacentral:rRNA from 1 species
ACUCCUACGGGAGGCAGCAGUGGGGAAUUUUGGACAAUGGGCGAAAGCCUGAUCCAGCAAUGCCGCGUGAGUGAUGAAGGCCUUAGGGUUGUAAAGCUCUUUUACCAGGGAUGAUAAUGACAGUGCCUGGAGAAUAAGCUCCGGCUAACUCCGUGCCAGCAGCCGCGGUAAU